ensembl:misc_RNA Metazoa_SRP Metazoan signal recognition particle RNA
ACCGGGUAUGGUGGGUGCGUGACUGUAGUACCAGCUACUUGGGAGGCUGAGGCAAGAGGAUUGCCUGAGUCCAGGAGUUCUGGACUAUAGUGUGCUAUGCUGAUUGGGUGUCUGCACUAAGUGUGGCCCCAAUGUGGUAACCUCCUAGGAGCAGGGGACCACCAGGUUGCCGAAGGAGGGGUGAACUGGCCCAGUUCAGAAAUGGAGCAGGUCAGAAGUCCCGUGCUGAUCAAUAGUGGGACUGCACUUGUGAAUAGCCACUGCACUGCAGCCUGGGCAACAUAGCAAGACCCCAUCUCU